rnacentral:rRNA from 1 species
AUUGAACGCUGGCGGCAUGCCUUACACAUGCAAGUCGAACGGCAGCACGGGUGCUUGCACCUGGUGGCGAGUGGCGAACGGGUGAGUAAUACAUCGGAACAUGUCCUGUAGUGGGGGAUAGCCCGGCGAAAGCCGGAUUAAUACCGCAUACGAUCUACGGAUGAAAGCGGGGGACCUUCGGGCCUCGCGCUAUAGGGUUGGCCGAUGGCUGAUUAGCUAGUUGGUGGGGUAAAGGCCUACCAAGGCGACGAUCAGUAGCUGGUCUGAGAGGACGACUAGCCACACUGGGACUGAGACACGGCCCAGACUCCUACGGGAGGCAGCAGUGGGGAAUUUUGGACAAUGGGAGAAAGCCUGAUCCAGCAAUGCCGCGUGUGUGAAGAAGGCCUUCGGGUUGUAAAGCACUUUUGUCCGGAAAGAAAUCCUUGGCCCUAAUACGGUCGGGGGAUGACGGUACCGGAAGAAUAAGCACCGGCUAACUACGUG